rnacentral:rRNA from 1 species
GAUUAACGCUGGCGGCGUGCAUAACACAUGCAAGUCGAACGAUGAAACUUAGUAGACUUCUUCGUAAAGACACUAAGCGGCUUAUUGGCGAACGGUUGAGUAACGCGCUAUUAACCUGCCUUACCCAAGGGGAUCGCCUUCUGAUACGAAGAAUUAUAUCCUAUAAAACCAUAAAAGCACAUGCUUGAAUGGUCCAAGUGAUAGCGGUGUAAGAUGGACUUCCGUCUGAUUAGCUAGUUGGUGAGAUAAAAGCUCACCAAGGCAAAGAUCAGUAACCGGCUUGGAAGCGUGUACGGCCACAUUGGGACUGGGACAAGGCCCAGACUCCUACGAGAGGGAGAAGUGGGGAAGUUUGCACAAUGGGGGAAACACGGAUGCAGCGACGCCGCGUAAUUUAGAAGGCCUUCGGGUUGUAAAAAGCUUUUGUAUAGGAAGAAAAUGACAGUACUAUACGAAUAAGGUCCGGCUAAUUACGUG